UACGUAGGGUGCAAGCGUUGUCCGGAAUUAUUGGGCGUAAAGAGCUCGUAGGCGGUUUGUCGCGUCUGCUGUGAAAACUCGGGGCUUAACCCCGGGCCUGCAGUGGGUACGGGCAGACUAGAGUGCGGUAGGGGAGACUGGAAUUCCUGGUGUAGCGGUGAAAUGCGCAGAUAUCAGGAGGAACACCGGUAGCGAAGGCGGGUCUCUGGGCCGUAACUGACGCUGAGGAGCGAAAGCGUGGGGAGCGAACAGG
rnacentral:rRNA from 1 species